CAUCACAUCCUGGGGCUGUAGCCGGUCCCAAGGGUAUGGCUGUUCGCCAUUUAAAGUGGUACGUGAGCUGGGUUUAGAACGUCGUGAGACAGUUCGGUUCCUAUCUACCGUGGGCGCUGGAGAUUUGAGAGGACUUACUCCUAGUACGAGAGGACCGGAGUGAACGUACCUCUGGUGUUCCGGUUGUCACGCCAGUGGCACAGCCGGGUAGCUAUGUACGGACAAGAUAACCGCUGAAAGCAUCUAAGCGGGAAGCUUCCCUCAAGAUGAGAUCUCCCGGACCUAUAAGGUCCCUUAAGGUUCGUCGAAGACGACGACGUUGAUAGGCAAGGUGUGGAAGUUCAGUAAUGAAUGAAGCUUACUUGUACUAAUUGACCGUGAGUCUUGACUAU
rnacentral:ncRNA from 1 species